CUUCAGAGAACUUGACAGGCCCAGUCUUCUUUCACUUACAUUGUAUGGAAAAGAGUAGCAUGAACAUUUUGUGAAACAUCUUAUUUUGUGUUCAACAGAAAAAAAUAAGUCAUAAGGGAUUGGAAUGACAUAAGAUUUUUUGAUUUUUGAGUGCACUGUUCAUUUACAUUUUAAGGCAAGAGAGUGUGACAGAUGGAAAUAGAGGGAGAAAAGUUUGCCAAGAAGCUGUCAGCAUUAAGCAGCUGUGCAGAAAAGGCCUUUAUCUUCUAAUGCACUGUAUUACAGAGUCCUUGGAAAAUGUUUCAUUCCUAUGAGGGUGGAUGAAAAAGAUUUGGAUUGUCUCUUUCUUUAAAUAGAUAAUGGUGUGAGCAGUCACACAUCUUUAGCCAUCACAUUUCCUUUGAAGCCUGAGAGAAGCUGUCGACAGUUAUCAAACACUAUCAGACUGCAUGUCUGCUAGCAUGCCAUGCCAAUCCAAGGCCUUAAGAUGUAUACCCAUAGGUGAUCGGCAGAUUUACACACAGUAAUUGAGUAUUAAACCUCUGAACCUAAUAAGUGUGUCACUUAACUAUGACUGUGUGGAGGCUGAGAAGUUCAGAAAAACUGCAACCAAGACAUUUUCUGUGGUGUCAUAGGAAGCAGACCCUGGAGUAGAGAGAUAGUGUGGAAAGGCUGGACUUGGGAGUUCAAAUACCUGUGACAAUGUGGGGGAAAAAAAGGGAAUUUAAGGUGUGCUGGAGGUUUGUUUCCAAAACAAAUAAAGAAAAAAGAAAAAAAGAAAAACUAAUCUCCGGCAUGAAACAAUAAGUUCUUAUAAGUUCAGAAUUAAUUGCAUUAUAAUGGUUUUGGUCACACUUUUUUUUUUCAUUUCCCCCCCAAACACAGAUAGUUUUUUGCCAUUUUAAACAAAAUGAGUAGCCAAAGAUAUACAAUGAACAAAAUUAUAAACGCAACACUUUUGUUUUUGUCCCCAUUUUUCAUGAGCUGAACUCAAAGAUCUAAGACUUUUUCUAUGUACACAAAAGGCCUAUUUCUCUCAAAUAUUGUUCACAAAUCUGUCUAAGUCUGUGUUAGUAAGCACUUCUCCUUUGCUGAGAUAAUCCAUCCACCUCACAGGUGUGGCAUAU
rnacentral:lncRNA from 1 species